rnacentral:rRNA from 1 species
UACGAAGGUGGCAAGCGUUACUCGGAAUUACUAGGCGUAAAGGGCAGGUAGGUGGUUUGGUAAGUCUAUUGUGAAAGCUCCCGGCUUAACUGGGAGAGGCCAAUGGAUACUGCCAAGCUUGAGUAUAGGAGAGGUUACUGGAAUUUCCGGUGUAGCGGUGAAAUGCGCAGAGAUCGGGAGGAACACCAAUGGCGAAAGCAGGUAACUGGACUAUUACUGACACUCAACUGCGAAAGCUAGGGGAGCAAACAGG